rnacentral:tRNA from 1 species
GUUAAAAUGGCUGAGCUAGGCGAUAGAUUGUAAAUCUAUUCACGGGAUGAAAAUCUCUUUUAACA